rnacentral:rRNA from 1 species
AUUGAACGCUGGCGGCAGGCCUAACACAUGCAAGUCGAACGAGUGGCGGACGGGUGAGUAAUGUCUGGGAAACUGCCUGAUGGAGGGGGAUAACUACUGGAAACGGUAGCUAAUACCGCAUACCAUCGGAUGUGCCCAGAUGGGAUUAGCUAGUAGGUGGGGUAAAGGCUCACCUAGGCGACGAUCCCUAGCUGGUCUGAGAGGAUGGCCCGGCAAAAUGGAAACGAGGAAAGGGCCCAGACCCGAAGGGGAGAAGCAGGGGGGAAGAUUGCACAAUGGGCGCAAGCCUGAUGCAGCCAUGCCGCGUGUAUGAAGAAGGCCUUCGGGUUGUAAAGUACUUUCAGCGGGGAGGCGUUACCCGCAGAAGAAGCACCGGCUAACUCCGUGCCAGCAGCCGCGGUAAUAC